rnacentral:rRNA from 1 species
UACGAAGGGGGCUAGCGUUGCUCGGAAUCACUGGGCGUAAAGGGUGCGUAGGCGGGUUUUUAAGUCAGAGGUGAAAUCCUGGAGCUCAACUCCAGAACUGCCUUUGAUACUGAAAGUCUUGAGUAUGGGAGAGGUGAGUGGAACUGCGAGUGUAGAGGCGAAAUUCGUAGAUAUUCGCAAGAACACCAGUGGCGAAGGCGGCUCACUGGCCCAUUACUGACGCUGAGGCACGAAAGCGUGGGGAGCAAACAGG